CCUACGGGAGGCAGCAGUGGGGAAUAUUGCACAAUGGGGGAAACCCUGAUGCAGCAACGCCGCGUGAGUGAAGGAGUAUUUCGGUAUGUAAAGCUCUAUCAGUAGGGAAGAAGAAAGACGGUACCUGACUAAGAAGCCCCGGCUAACUACGUGCCAGCAGCCGCGGUAAUACGUAGGGGGCAAGCGUUAUCCGGAUUUACUGGGUGUAACGGGAGCGUAGACGGCUGUGCAAGUCUGAAGUGAAAGCCCGUGGCUCAACCGCGGAACUGCUUUGGAAACUGUGGAACCGGAGUGCUGGAGAGGCA
rnacentral:rRNA from 1 species